rnacentral:rRNA from 1 species
ACUCAAAUGAAUUGACGGGGACCCGCACAAGCAGUGGAGUAUGUGGUUUAAUUCGAAGCAACGCGAAGAACCUUACCAGGGCUUGACAUCCCUUGCAUACCAUAGAGAUAUGGGAAGUCCUUCGGGACAAGGAGACAGGUGGUGCAUGGUUGUCGUCAGCUCGUGUCGUGAGAUGUUGGGUUAAGUCCCGCAACGAGCGCAACCCUUACUGUCAGUUGCCAUCAUUAAGUUGGGCACUCUGGCGGGACUGCCGGUGAUAAAUCGGAGGAAGGUGGGGAUGACGUCAAAUCAUCAUGCCCCUUAUGUCCUGGGCUACACACGUACUACAAUGGGCGAUACAACGGGAAGCGAAGGAGCGAUCCGGAGCGAAUCCUUUAAAAGCGCCCCCAGUUCGGAUUGCAGGCUGAAACCCGCCUGCAUGAAGUUGGAAUUGCUAGUAAUGGCAGGUCAGCAUACUGCCGUGAAUACGUUCCCGGGUCUUGUACACACCGCCCGU